CCUACGGGAGGCAGCAGUGGGGGAUAUUGCACAAUGGGGGGAACCCUGAUGCAGCGACGCCGCGUGGGUGAAGGAGUGCUUCGGCAUGUAAAGCCCUAUCGGCAGGGAAGAAGCAAGACGGUACCUGACUAAGAAGCCCCGGCUAACUACGUGCCAGCAGCCGCGGUAAUACGUAGGGGGCGGGCGUUAUCCGGAUUCACUGGGUGUAAAGGGAGCGUAGACGGCCAUGCAAGCCAGGGGUGAAAGCCCGGGGCCCAACCCCGGGACUGCCCUUGGAACUGUGCGGCUAGAGUGCGGGAGGGGCAGGCGGAAUGCCUGGUGUAGCGGUGAAAUGCGUAGAUAUCAGGAGGAACACCGGCGGCGAAGGCGGCCUGCUGGACCGCGACUGACGUUGAGGCUCGAAAGCGUGGGGAGCGAACAGGAUUAGAUACCCGGGUAGUC
rnacentral:rRNA from 1 species